UCGACCGGGGGCAGCGUGCGGCCUUGACUCUUGAGUCUGCCCCCCCUCGCGCCUCCGCCACGUACAUACACCGCGCAGCCAGAUUAUUUAUGAUAGCAUCACAGCUCGCGCAGCAUACUCGCGAUUCUCUACGAACUAAUAAUAACCCGUUUUUCCUCUCGCACGCCCGCUAAGUUUCCUAUGAAUAGAAUUCGAUCCAAAAGACAAAAGUGAUGUAAGUGAUUGCAGUGAUUAAACAAUGCGAAACUUUCACUGACCUCACAAAACAGAUAACGCAACGACUUCGCAGGCGUGCCGCGUAAGCGCCUAGUGAAAGUUGCCCAAAAAUCUGAGCACGAGUGUCUUCAAUCAUCCUGUUACCAGAUUUACGAGCACAUAAACAGGUCCGAAACAUCAUGGAAAUUUAAUAUAGUAGACAAAGUCGAGUUUUAAUGGCGCCGUUAAGUUUGUCUCGUGAAUGAAACAGCAUUGUCCAGGAUGAAGUAGGGCGGCGAACGAGGGAUCUUCAGCGAGAACGGACGCACGUGGAAGUGUUUACAUCCGUCGGGUAUCGCGUCCGGAGUGCGGAGUGCACGGCAUCCGGUUUUACAUAUACCGCGGCGGCGCUUCCCCGGAUAACGCGUUACAGCUGUUGAAACUCUCGAUUCGUCGUGUAUUCCUUCAGUGUAUUUGCGCAUCAUUUUCCCAAAGAUCGUUAAAUGUUAAUGAUUUUGUGCAAUAUUGUAAAUAUUACAGGAAACUGAUAGAAUGACGGAAUUUAAAUUUUAUUUUCAGUAUUUAUGUAGUAUUUAAGAGUUUAGGGUUAACAAACAUCAAAGACAAUGCGGCGAUGAUUGUUUUUUUUUUCAAUAAAUUCAUCCUCUAUUUGAUUAAUGGAAAAUCUUA